UCCUCAGCCGGGCCUGGACUCCUCAC
rnacentral:piRNA from 1 species